UCCAAAAAUCUCAGUAGUCACUUUUCCAUUGACCCUCAAAUUGUGCGACUAUAACUUGCGCAGAAAAAUUUGCUAA